AUGGCCACUGUACUGCUUCUCCUGAUCGUGCUGCAUUUGCUGGUGGCGUCGGCGGCUCAGCGGCAGCUGCCCGUGGCGCGGCCAGGGUGCCGCGACAGGUGCGGCAACAUCACUGUCCCCUACCCCUUCGGCAUCGGCGCCGGCUGCUACCGCGACAGCCAAGACGGCUUCCAGCUCGAGUGCGACGACGACUCCGGCCGCUCUCCUCCUCGGCUCACCGUCGUCCAUUACAACCACCGCCUGGGGGACCUCUCGCUCGCGGCCGGCGAGGCUCGCGCCUACCUCAAAGCGAGGAGGGAGUGCUACUACUCCAAUGGCAGCCUCGCCUAUCGGAACACGAACCACAUGUCCCUCCAAGGCGCCCCCUACCUCUUGUCGUCCACCAAGAACCGCCUGGUCGCGCUCGGCUGCCCCACCCUUGGCUUCUUCGUCGACGGCCAUGGUUCCUACGUCAGCGGCUGUACGUCCUUGUGCCAGCCGUCGGGGAACACCAUGCCGGGCUCGUGCACCGGCCUCAGGUGCUGCCAGAGCGCGAUACCCGCUGGCAUCAACUUCUUCCGGCUUGUCCUGCUCAGCUUCCAGCGAACGGCAGGGACGCCCCGGGGGCAGGAUGACACAAACUCCUUUACCAACAGCUCCACGGCGUGCCGCUACGUGUUCCUCGUCGAGGCGGACUGGUUCAGCUACACAGACAGCGUCUUCCUCAACCGCACCGACGAAUUCAUCGUCCCCCUCGUGCUCGACUGGGCCAUCCGGAACGUCGACAACUGCAGCGCCGCUAGCCAAAACACGACGGACUUCGCCUGCCGAGGCGCUCAUAGCGAGUGCUUCAAUGUCACCAAUGGCAUCGGGUACCGGUGCAACUGCUCCCAGGGCUACCAAGGCAACCCGUACCUCGACGACGGAUGCAUAGACAUCGACGAGUGCCAACUGAAAGACGAAUACCCGUGCUACGGGGUCUGCACAAACACAAUAGGGAACUACACAUGCCAAUGCCCUCCGGGUACUAGUGGAGAUGCCACCAGGAGGGAUGGCUGCCAGCCAGUGGACAAGUUCACCUUAGCUCCGAAAGUCGUUACAGGAGUCAGCGUCGGGGUGUUCUUGUCGGUGUUCAUGUGCUUCUGGCUCUACCUGGGGCUGCAGAAGCGAAAGCUCAUCAAGGCAAAGCAGAGCUUCUUUGAGCACAACGGAGGCGUCAUCCUGCAGCAGCAGAUGCGUUCCUACAGCGGCACCGCCGGAGGUGGUGGUGGCGGGUUCAAGAUAUUCUCCGAGGAAGAGCUCGAGAAGGCGACCAACAACUUCGCUGCCGAUCAGAUCCUCGGGCGGGGCGGCCAUGGCAUCGUGUACAAGGGCGUCCUCGAGGACAAGACGGUGGUGGCCAUCAAGAAGUCCAAAGUGAUGGAGGCGACCGAGACCAAGGAGUUUGCGAGAGAGAUGCUCAUCCUCUCGCAGAUCAACCACCGGAACGUCGUCAAGCUGCACGGCUGCUGCCUCGAGGUGGAGGUGCCAAUGCUGGUGUAUGAGUACGUUUCCAAUGGCACCCUCUACCACUACAUCCAUGGUGGUGAGGGCCUCGACAAUAACAAGGCACUCGAUACCCGCCUUCGGAUAGCGGCGGAGUCUGCGGAGGCGUUGUCGUAUAUGCACUCGUCAGCCUCGCCCCCGAUCCUCCACAGUGAUGUCAAGACGGCGAACAUCCUGCUUGACGAAAACCUCACUGCCAAAGUCACGGAUUUUGGGGCGUCGAAGCUGGCACCAAACGACGAGGUUGAGAUUGCGACAUUGGUGCAGGGAACUUACGGGUACCUGGACCCGGAGUACCUCAUGACAUGCCAGCUGACGGACAAGAGCGACGUGUACAGUUUUGGCGUCGUUCUGCUGGAACUCCUUACAGGGAAGAAGCCGAUCCGCUUCGACGGGCCAGAGGAGGGAAGGAGCCUCGUGUCCGGAUUCAUGACAGCAGCGAAGGUUGGUGGACACUACGAGCUCCUUGACAGCCAGGUGAGAAAUGAGAUGGGGCCUGAGGCAUUGGAAGAAAUCACGCACCUCAUGAUGCGAUGCGUGAGCAUGAGCGGCGAGGAGCGGCCGUCGAUGAAGGAAGUUGCCGAGAGGUUGGAGGCGUUGAGAAGGUACCAGAGGCACCCAUGGGGCCAGGCUGGUGCUGGUGAUCCGGAGGAGGGGCAAAGUUUGCUUGGUAGAGAGCAACAACGUGAUGUGAGUUAUAAGUUCAAACCGCAUGACGUGCUUGAUCUCGAAGAGGGUAGCACAUACACUUUUAGCUUGUAG
rnacentral:rRNA from 1 species